UACGAAGGGGGCUAGCGUUGUUCGGAAUUAUUGGGCGUAAAGGGUGCGUAGGCGGUUUGGUAAGUCUGAUGUGAAAUCUAUGGGCUCAACUCAUAGUCUGCAUCGGAAACUGCCGGGCUUGAGUGUGGGAGAGGUGAGUGGAAUUCCUGGUGUAGCGGUGGAAUGCGCAGAUAUCAGGAGGAACACCAAUAGCGAAGGCAGCUCGCUGGGACGGUACUGACGCUAAGGCGCGAAAGCGUGGGGAGCAAACAGG
rnacentral:rRNA from 1 species